UACAGAGGUCCCGAGCGUUGUUCGGAUUCAUUGGGCGUAAAGGGUGUGUAGGAGGUCAGGUAAGUCGGGCGUGAAAUCUCACCGCUUAACGGUGAAAUUGCGUUCGAUACUGCUUGGCUAGAGGAUUUGAGGGGGUAACGGAAUUCUUGGUGUAGCAGUGAAAUGCGUAGAUAUCAAGAGGAACACCAGUGGCGAAGGCGGUUACCUGGAAAAUUCCUGACUCUGAAACACGAAAGCUAGGGGAGCAAACGGG
rnacentral:rRNA from 1 species